AAGGAUAUUCACGGGGAAGAGAGGGCAAGGGUGUUGGUGGUGCACGGCCUUCAAACGGGGGCAGUAAGGAUUGGCCGUCAGGCUCCUGCUAGAAACACAGUCUGCCAAUCUGCCCAGGCUAAAUGUGUUUAUUAACAGGAUGAUGCUCACUGAAGGAAUCAUAUGCUAAGAGGGGGGAGUGCAGGUUGUUAUCAAAUAAUCAUCUGGCUGAUGAAUGAGGCCUCCUAAGCUGUCAUCAUCAUCAUCAUCUAUGAGAUAUCCAACUUGGUCCGCUGUGAUUCUGAACAUCAGGCUGCCGCUGCUCCGUCGACUCUCCUCCGGUUUCAGACAGCGCUGCUGCUG